CGGGGCUAAGACAUAAACCGAAGCUGCGGAAGAUACACCGUAUCUUGGUAGGAGAGCGUUCUGUAGGCCGUCGAAGGGAUGCCGUAAGGACAUCCUGGAGGUAUCAGAAGUGAGAAUGCAGGAAUGAGUAGCGAGAAGGCGGGUGAGAAUCCCGCCGGCCGGAAGUCCAAGGUUUCCAGGGGAAGGUUUGUCCGCCCUGGGGGAGUCGGGACCUAAGCAUAAGCAGAGCUGCGAAGGCGAAUGGAAAACAGGUUAAUAUUCCUGUACCGCUGUUAUCGCUUGAGAGACGGAGUGACGCAGGAAGGUAUGCGAGAAGGCUGACGGUUUAGCCUUUCUAAGGAAGUAGCGUGAGCAUAUAGGUAAAUCCGUAUGCUUAAACGUGAGAACUGAUGGGUAAGCACCUCUUGGUGUAAGUCACAAAUCCUACACUGCCAAGAAAAACUUCUAUCGAUGAGAAGCAGCGCCCGUACUGUAAACCGACACAGGUGGACAGAGUGAGAAACUUAAGGCCGACAGGACAACUCUGGCUAAGGAACUCUGCAAAAUGGCCCCGUAACUUCGGGAGAAGGGGUACCCGUGCUAACUGAAGGGAGAGACACCUGGAGGGGAAGCGGGUCGCAGUGAAGAGUCCCAAGCAACUGUUUACCAAAAACACAGGUCUAUGCUAAGCUGGAAGGCGACGUAUAUGGGCUGACACCUGCCCAGUGCCGGAAGGUUAAGAGGAGGAUUGAGAGAUCCGAAUUGAAGCCCCGGUGAACGGCGGCCGUAACUAUAACGGUCCUAAGGUAGCGAAAUUCCUUGUCGGGUAAGUUCCGACCUGCACGAAUGGUGUAAUGAUUUGAGCGCUGUCUUGACGGGAGGCCUGGUGAAAUUGUAUUACCGGUGAAGAUACCGGUUACCUACAGUAGGACGGAAAGACCCCAUGGAGCUUUACUGUAGCUUGGUAUUGGGUUUUGGCAUUGCAUGUAUAGGAUAGUUGGGAGACUGAGAUGAUAUGGCGCUAGCUGUAUCGGAGUCAUCGGUGGAAUACCAACCAUUCAAUGCUGAAAUUCUAAUCUGUGGUUUGUAGCCACGGAGACAGUGCUAGGUGGGCAGUUUGACUGGGGCGGUCGCCUCCGAAAGAGUAACGGAGGCGUUCAAAGGUUCUCUCAGGUUGGAUGGAAAUCAACCAUAGAGUGCAAUGGCAUAAGAGAGCUUGACUGCAAGACUGACGGGUCGAGCAGAUGCGAAAGCAGGACAUAGUGAUCCGGCGAUUCCGAAUGGAAGGGUCGUCGCUCAACGGAUAAAAGCUACCCUGGGGAUAACAGGCUGAUCCUACCCGAGAGUCCAUAUCGACGGUAGGGUUUGGCACCUCGAUGUCGGCUCAUCGCAUCCUGGGGCUGGAGAAGGUCCCAAGGGUUGGGCUGUUCGCCCAUUAAAGCGGUACGUGAGCUGGGUUCAGAACGUCGUGAGACAGUUCGGUCCCUAUCCACUGUAGGCGUUAGAAUAUUGAGAAGACCUGUCCUUAGUACGAGAGGACCGGGAUGGACAAACCUCUGAUGUACCAGUUGUCACGCCAGUGGCACAGCUGGGUAGUCACGUUUGGAAUAGAUAACCGCUGAAAGCAUCUAAGCGGGAAACUAACUUCAAGAUAAGUAUUCUUUAAGAUACCUUCGAGCCUAGGAGGUUGAUAGGUUGGGGGUGUAAGUGCAGCAAUGCAUUUAGCUGACCAAUACUAAUUAUCGAAGUUUUAAUCUA
rnacentral:rRNA from 1 species